rnacentral:rRNA from 1 species
GGUGAACGCUGGCGGCGUGCCUAAUACAUGCAAGUCGAGCGAAUGGAUUGAGAGCUUGCUCUUAUGAAGUUAGCGGCGGACGGGUGAGUAACACGUGGGUAACCUGCCCAUAAGACUGGGAUAACUCCGGGAAACCGGGGCUAAUACCGGAUAACAUUUUGAACCGCAUGGUUCGAAAUUGAAAGGCGGCUUCGGCUGUCACUUAUGGAUGGACCCGCGUCGCAUUAGCUAGUUGGUGAGGUAACGGCUCACCAAGGCAACGAUGCGUAGCCGACCUGAGAGGGUGAUCGGCCACACUGGGACUGAGACACGGCCCAGACUCCUACGGGAGGCAGCAGUAGGGAAUCUUCCGCAAUAGACGAAAGUCUGACGGAGCAACGCCGCGUGAGUGAUGAAGGCUUUCGGGUCGUAAAACUCUGUUGUUAGGGAAGAACAAGUGCUAGUUGAAUAAGCUGGCACCUUGACGGUAUCUAACCAGAAAGCCACGGCUAACUACGUGCCAGCCGCCGCGGUAA